CCCACUCACCCCUUGUCCACCCCCAGCGGUGAGUGAGCGUCUGGGUGAGCUGCUGGUGAGGAGGGUGAGGCACGUCCUCACCGAGAUGCUGAGGGUGGAUCUCAGCCGUCCUCGCCCUCCGUGCCGGGGACUUCGGCAGGGUCGGCGAGCUCAUGGCGGCCAGCCACGCGUCGCUACGCGACGACUACGAGGUGAGCUGCCCCGAGGCGGACCAGCUGGUGCGGCUGUCCUCCGCCUGUCCCGGCGUGCUGGGCGCUCGCCUCACAGGCGGAGGCUUCGGCGGCUGCGUCGUCGCCAUGGUUACCGGCUGCACGCGCCUGGAGGCGGAGCAGAACCUCCAAGGCCUCGUCCGGCACGUCCAGGAGCACUACAGUGGGCAGGCCAAGUUUUACCGAGCAGUGCCAAGCGGUGGAGCUCACUCACUCAGCCUGUAGCACAACCACCACCACAACAACAACCACAACCACAACAACAACAACCACCACAACAACAACCACCACAACAACAACCACCACAACAACAACCACAACAACAAC